UACGAAGGGUGCUAGCGUUGUUCGGAAUUACUGGGCGUAAAGCGCGCGUAGGCGGUUUAACAAGUCAGAGGUGAAAGCCCUGGGCUCAACCCAGGAAUUGCCUUUGAAACUGUUAGACUUGAGUGUCGGAGGGGAUAGCGGAAUUGCUAAUGUAGAGGUGAAAUUCGUAGAUAUUAGCAGGAACACCGGUGGCGAAGGCGGCUAUCUGGACGACUACUGACGCUGAGGCGCGAAAGCACUGGGAUCAAACAGG
rnacentral:rRNA from 1 species